AGAGUUUGAUCCUGGCUCAGAUUGAACGCUGGCGGUAUGCUUAACACAUGCAAGUCGAACGGAAACGAAACUAGCUUGCUAGUAGGCGUCGAGUGGCGGACGGGUGAGUAACGCGUAGGAAUCUGCCUGAUAGUGGGGGAUAGCCCGAAGAAAUUCGGAUUAAUACCGCAUAAUCUAUUCGUAGUAAAGUGAGGGACUUUCGAGCCUCACGCUAUCAGAUGAGCCUGCGUAAGAUUAGCUUGUUGGUAGGGUAAAAGCCUACCAAGGCAACGAUCUUUAGCUGGUCUGAGAGGAUGAUCAGCCACAUCGGGACUGAGACACGGCCCGAACUCCUACGGGAGGCAGCAGUGGGGAAUAUUGGACAAUGGGGGCAACCCUGAUCCAGCAAUACCGCGUGUGUGAAGAAGGCCUGAGGGUUGUAAAGCACUUUCAAUUGUGAAGAAAAGUUAACGGUUAAUAACCGUUAACCUUGACGUUAACUUUAGAAGAAGCACCGGCUAACUCCGUGCCAGCAGCCGCGGUAAUACGGAGGGUGCAAGCGUUAAUCGGAAUUACUGGGCGUAAAGCGUGCGUAGGCGGUUUAUUAAGUCAGAUGUGAAAGCCCCGGGCUUAACCUGGGAACUGCAUUUGAAACUGGUCAACUAGAGUAUGGUAGAGGAAAGUGGAAUUUCUG
rnacentral:rRNA from 1 species